rnacentral:rRNA from 1 species
AUUGAACGCUGGCGGCAUGCCUUACACAUGCAAGUCGAACGGCAGCACGGAGAGCUUGCUCUCUGAUGGCGAGUGGCGAACGGGUGAGUAAUGCAUCGGAACGUACCGUGUAAUGGGGGAUAACGUAGCGAAAGUUACGAUAAUACCGCAUACGACCUGAGGGUGAAAGCAGGGGAUCGCAAGACCUUGCGUUAUACCAGCGGCCGAUGGCAGCUUAGCUAGUUGGUGAGGUAAAGGCUCACCAAGGCGACGAUCUGUAGCGGGGAUGAGAGGAGGAUCCGCCAAACUGGGACGGAGACACGGCCCAGACUCAUACGGGAGGCAGCAGUGGGGAAUUGUGGACAAUGGGGGCAACCCUGAUCCAGCCAUGCCGCGUGAGUGAAGAAGGCCUUCGGGUUGUAAAGCUCUUUCGGCCGGGAAGAAAUCGCACAGGCUAAUACUCUGUGUGGAUGACGGUACCGGCAUAAGAAGCACCGGCUAACUACGUGCCAGCCGCCGCCGUAA